UACUUUUCUUUUCAAUGCAUCUGGGACUCAUACGAAGGUUUGUGGUUCGGUGGUCAAGUUGUUAUCUUACGAUCAUAAGCUCGUGGGUUUGAUUCCUGGACCAGGCGGCAUUGUCAUCUUGAGCAAGGCGCUACAUUUUAUGUUGCUUUAAGUAUACUAAGCUGAAAAUGUAUACAAACUGGCUGCUGGUGUAGCUCCAUCUCUCUCACAUCGUCUGGCUCAAUAUUAUUUAUCUGCUCGCGACAACUUAGACAUUUAAAACAACUAACGAAAGCGUAAAACAAGCUACCAGCCAUACUUGCAAGUGAUGGGCGGCUUAGUGUAUUCAAAUAUCCGAUAGCUUAUUUUUUUUAAAGACAUGAGCGCGCAAUUUAUCAUCCACACUACUGAAAAAGCCAUGUCAGCCUUUCUACAGUCAACGGCGUUUGGGAGAAUGAACGGCAAAGAAGACCUUGGCGAGAUUUCAACCCCUAAGUAAAGAACCGGAAAAUACACCAGACAUUUUGUCCGACGCUGUCACUAUUUUGUCGAUCCACCGCCUGAAAUCUUGGGAGACGGGGAUAGUCGAUUAUUUCGACCCCAGUGUUCAACUGCUAGUUAUUUUAUCGACCCCAAAAUGAUGAAAGAUACAGUUGACCUCAGCGGAAUUUGAACUCAGAACCUAAAGCAGGUGAAAUGCCGCUAAGCAUUUUAUCCGGCAUGUUAAAGAUUCUCUCAGCUCACCACCUUACAAUCCUUCUCUUCCUCAUCCUCCUCAUCAUCAGGUUUUCAAUAAUUUUGUGUGGGUUUCUACUUCAACACCAAUUGCACCUGUGUUUCUUGGAUAUGUGGAGUAUUUGAGCUUUCCCAUCUGUUUCCGGGCGAUGAUGAUUCGCCGACACGAGACGUUGACGGUGAAAAUGAGAGUGAAUCAGUAUCUUUAUUCACUGAAAUCCUACUCAAACCAACUUAGCCUACCAUAUAUCUGAGGUGGGAUGAAUAACAUAAAUACCAAUUAUAUAAGUUGAUGAUUCAACUGACUAUAUUAUGCAUAAAUCUACCAAGAUGAGAACACUGCUCUGACUAAUACAUAAUAUAAACAUUCCUCAUCUCAGAAAUACAGAGUUGCAACUGACUAUAUUUCACUCCCUCCAUUAAAAGAGACAACCUGCACAUGUUUGUCGAAAAAGAAAAAACAGCAAAAUCUGCCUGACUCAAUGCAUUAUUUUAAGAAAAUGAGCUAUUGGAUAAUAUGGUCUUGGGGGCACAGUACUGAAUAAAAAGAAUGGAUUGUUACAACCGGAA